UUCUUAGUAUAUGUAUGUCCCAUGCCAUAUUUGGGACCUACUUAUACUAAAA
rfam:Macaca mulatta chromosome 4, whole genome shotgun sequence.